CCAACAUUUUUUUGAGCGUGGCGGCGCCGUGCUAUCGCACAAAGAUUGCGAAGCAAACUGAACCGUGCCUGAUUGUUGAUCAAUAUAGCAGGCAGCAUGACUAUAGCGAUCGGCUUUGAAGGGAGUGCAAACAAGUUGGGAGUUGGUAUAAUGCGCGAUGGCGAAGUUCUGUCGAAUCCACGAGUAACUUACAUUACUCCUCCAGGCGAAGGGUUCCAGCCAAGAGACACUGCUCUGCACCACCGAGCACACAUUUUAGAUGUUCUUGAAAAGGCACUGCAAGAGGCUAGCAUCACGCCAAAAGAAAUCGACGUCGUGUGCUACACUAAAGGACCUGGUAUGGGAGCUCCUUUGGUAUCUGUUGCCGUGGUUGCAAGAACAAUCGCGCAGCUAUGGAACAAGCCAAUCAUAGGUGUCAACCACUGCAUUGGUCACAUUGAAAUGGGGCGCCUAAUCACUGGAGCUUCCAACCCAACUGUACUAUAUGUCAGUGGCGGCAACACUCAGGUAAUAGCAUACAGUGAGAAGCGCUACAGGAUUUUUGGAGAGACUAUUGACAUUGCUGUUGGGAAUUGCCUAGACAGGUUUGCAAGAGUUCUGAAACUCUCAAAUGAUCCAAGUCCAGGCUACAACAUAGAGCAAAUGGCAAAAAAGGGCACUAAAUUGAUUCCACUCCCUUACGUUGUCAAAGGCAUGGAUGUCUCAUUUUCAGGAGUGCUUUCCUUCAUUGAGGAAAAGGCAGAGUCCCUUUUAAGUGAAGGCCAGUGCACAGCUGAAGACCUGUGUUUCUCUUUACAAGAGACUGUAUUUGCAAUGCUUGUUGAAACAACAGAAAGGGCUAUGGCUCACACUGGUUCCGAUGAAGUACUCAUUGUUGGUGGAGUUGGCUAUUUUGCAUCGAUAAUGGAGCAAUGAUUGCUCAAGCUGGUUGGGAAAUGUUUCGAUCUGGGCAAGUAACGCCCUUUGAAGAAACAACCUGCACACAACGGUAUCGAACUGAUGAAGUGGAAGUGACAUGGAGAAACUGAUUUUUUAAUGUGUUCAUUUUAAAACUGCCAGGCCUGUGCAGAAUGCAGAGUACAGUCACAUCGAAAGCUAGAAGAGCGGCCGUUUUGGAACCUUUUUUAAACAAUCUUUGGGUGACUACCUACUACAGCUACACUUGCAGGGCACCAAAUUCACAAUAAAUCAUUGUAAUUUUUGUGUAGUAGGGAGGCAUUUGCCAUGCUAUUCUUCGGAGAAGCAUAGUACCCGCUAUGCACUUGCAAGGAAUGUGAAUAUUGUCGAUGCUGUAGCUGAUAACGAUUAAAAAUGAUGCCAGAGGCUUUUGUAAUGGGUUGGAACAUUUGACCACCCAGUCAUUAAAUAGCACUUUGCAUUGCGUGA
rnacentral:misc_RNA from 1 species